GCACUGCACCUGGUGAGACAGUGUGGUGCAGAUUUGCUCGGCAGGUGGACAGACCAGGGUCCCUUCCCAGGCGAAUACUUUUCUGGCUGUGUGUUCCUGAGCGUGUGACCUGGGGCUGGUUGGUCUGUCGGAUUCGGACACCAUCUCCUUGCAGGGUGAACAGGGCGGGGCGGCCCGGGGAUCCUGUCCAGUCCUUGUGACCCCUUAAACGUGCUGAUCUAUAUACAUGGUUUAGAUGGUUAGACGUGGCCUCACGUCCCGAGUACUCUAUUCUCCGCCAGGUACAUCAUCCCCCUACCCUCAAUUUUAUCUUUCACGCUUCCCAGGAACCCAUCUGGCAGCAGUGGAGGCAAGCGGAACAUGACUCGCGCCACGGCCAGCCACGUCGGAAGUAUGACUCGAACAAAAGCAUGAAAACGACUCCAAGCCCAGUUAAGUCGAAAGCGGUGUUUAUUCAAACAAAUCAAGCUCCUCUGUUUCCUUCCCAACGGGAUACAUCUUAAAGUGGGGGAGCCCACAAGUAUAAAAAGACAAGGGCUUUAGAAAACCCGACUGUGAGGUGCCCAACCACGUGGACCGUGGCCGUGGCUGCGAAGCCACUUGCGAGGUGGGGCGCGUACCUCCUCACGCCAACUGCUGGCCUAGCGCGCCCUCGGUUUCAAUCACCGUGGCACGCCCCCAACGGAGGGACAUCCCAAGAGGGACACAAUAAACAAUCUUCAGCCUUGUCAGAAAUGCAAGUUGCACGGAGCCGUGCACGGAAGAUGUUCAUCUGAGACACGCACGCCAAUUCGGUCUGCGAAGUGCUACGGUCGGCACCACUUGAGAAUCCGAGGUUUGCAGCUUCCCGGCCCGAGCAGGCACACCCCAAGGCGGCAGCAAAGUCACCCUUCUUAUGGAAAAAAAAAAAAAAAGAGUCACCGCCUCCAGGGACCGGACGUGGAGAUUUUGAGCCUGAAGUCUCCCUGACUGUGCAAAUGAACAGGAGCAGUAGGAAAUACCUCAUCGCGGAUGGCAAAAAUUCACCUUUCAUUUGCGCGUAGCAGAUCCCAGCCAUUGCUCCGGGGUUGAAACACGCUUAUUACCAAAGUACAGCUGACCUACGGGCACUCGCUCAGGCCGCCUCCUCCCGGGUUCCAGGUACCUCCCGGGCUAAAUAGGGUUGCCAAGCUCACGGAUACAAGAAUGUUACACGUGACACAUUAGAUGGUGCAUGGCCUCCAACUAGGAAAGUAAAAAAACGAUCCCGAUUGUAACUCCCAGCCACAAAGCACACACGGUUAUUUAGGAAGGCGGAUGGACCCUCCCGGCCCAGCCUUUGGCUACAGGCAGAUCUUCAAGAGAAAAACGUGCAGCCACAUCACCCAGCACGAUGUAGUUUAGAAACGCCAGACACGUGUACAUAACACUGACGCCAAGAAACCCAGAGAAGGCUCAGGACUAGGGCGAAAUGCUGUACUGAUUGGCUGAAGUCACGUGUCUUUAUGACACUCGAAAUUCACCCCGGGAACUCACGAGACUAGAGGUUCCGCAGACAGGCUGGUGUCACUACAAUCCGGCCGACCAGCCCCCAGGAUGACAUUCUCCCCGAGGCAGGGAGUGGGCUCAAGCGGCGGCUGGAGUUCACUAGACACGUGGGGAGCCUCCUACGGAACUGCGCCGAUUCUGAACAGAACCAGGCACCAAUUUAAGGCGGCCAGUCAAAAUGUAUCAUCUGGAAACAGAUGCAUCCUCACGUAUUGCAAGCAGCUGCUUCACGUUAAAAGUUGGGCGCCCCUCUGGCUCAGUCUGGCUCAGCUGGAAGAGAGUGCAACUCUUGAUCUCGAGGUUGUGAGUUGGAGCCCCACGCUAGAAGACCCAGUUGAUAAUGAGCACCUGAGGAAGAUCCGUCAACUUACCAACUACAAAAAUUAUCAUGGUUGGGGUCUUUUCUGCCAUGGCAUAUAAAAUAAAGUGAUGGUACCGAGAUGCCUUUCGAGCAGCCGUGGUUCACUUGGAAGAACAUUCUGGAGCUCCAGGACAGGCAUUCUAGACCCAGGGCCAUUUUGUGCUGCAACUACACGAAAACCUCUUACUAACUACCCCAGGCCUCAGUGUUCUUUUUUAUAAAACAAGGAACGGAGACUGCAUGAUUCAUGUCUUUGGGGCCCCUUGGCUUUGCAAUCCUUUGAUUAUAUUCUAAGUAGAUGGCAGGGGCCUCGCUCUGAAACUCUGUUCUUAACAGCUAACUUUCCUAUUUUUAAACACGAAUAUGUACCAGAUGAUCCACUUUCAACCUGCACAAGGAAAUUCACAGCGAAACGACUGCCACAA